GCUGAAUCAAAUAAUGUGAGAGAUGUGGGUGUCGUGGACAUCACCACCGGCCUGCAGGCUGAGUCCCCCCAUGCCAGGCCUCACGGAGACGUCUGGGGAGGAUCCGUGAGACUUGUCAAGUCUAGGAUUCCACAGAAGAUUCUAGGUUUGGGGAGGGAUUAAGGAGACAGCUGGUCUGGAGCCGGCUGCAUUCCAGGCGUGGUCUCUCCUGGUGUGUGAACCUCAGAGAGGCUCUGGCCUGGAGCCUGCCUUCCCAGGGGUCAGAAGGAGACAAAAUACUUGUAACACAGACACCAGGAGACUUCCGUGCUCCGUCUGUGUGUGUGUCCGCGUUAGGACGCGCAGCCGCCCCGCUGGGAACGGGUGUCCCAUCUCCCAGGAAGGACAGAUCUAGAGGCAAGAGGAAGAGACCCGGUGGCAGUGAUGUGCACGCCGGGCUGCGGGGGCCCCGGACUGUGGCGCAUGCUGAGAAGACCUCCUCUGCACCUUAGGAUGAACUAAAAGAGAUGAAAGAGAAAAAUACAGCUUUUCUUGUUGACUCUGAAUCUGGGCAUUUUUCUUGGCACGAGUAUUCCAGUAAAGAUUAGCUUUGGCUUCCAAGCCCGGCGGGUUUCCAAGCCCCACAGGCUUGUCCACGAGCCGGUACCUUUUGCUCUUAGAAGGUGCUUUGCCUCACACGCCAAGGUGGCUGCUGGAGCCCCAGCCAUUGUAUCGUAUUGUAUGGAUGCUCCAGGUAGGAAGAAGGAGUGAGGGUAACACAUCCCAGCUGGGCCAGGACCUCUGGAAAAAGAAUCUGAGAGCCUCACAUAAUGACUUCACAGCAGUGACACUGAGGGGGAGGAGCUGGGACCCUGAUGCCUGAGAUAACUGGUGUGCUGUGUUCCGGGGGCAGAGACGAGCAGUGGGAGUCAGGCAGCAGCCAACAGCCUCAUGGGAGAACCUCACGGACGAGGCAGGUACUGCCCCGAUGUACGGACGAGGGAGUGGAGCAGGAUGGAUGUCCUACCGGGACCGUGCAGAGGUGUCAGCUGGCCCCAGGGGACGUCCUCUGAUCCCGGGUACACAGGGGCUCGAGGAGAUGCUGUUGUGAAUGAGGUAACCCCUGGGGGUCCCAUCACCCCAAGCUCCCACCAGGAACAGCAGGGAAGCUCCGGACAUGGCCUCCUGUCACACCUGCAAACGUCCAGCUAUAAGCUCGCGCGACCUCCCCAGGAACCUCGCAUCUCUGAGCUUUGCUCCGUGAUGCAUAAGGUGGGUCCUUGUGGUACCUGGUUCCCUCGAUGCCACAGAGAGAGCGUCGUGCGUGAAAAUGCCCCACGGACAAGCAGAGGCUCGCGAAGGGAGGAGCACAUGUAG
rnacentral:lncRNA from 12 species